rnacentral:rRNA from 1 species
ACUCCUACGGGAGGCAGCAGUAGGGAAUCUUCCACAAUGGGCGCAAGCCUGAUGGGGCAACACCGCGUGAGUGAAGAAGGGUUUCGGCUCGUAAAGCUCUGUUGUUAAAGAAGAACACGUAUGAGAGUAACUGUUCAUACGUUGACGGUAUUUAACCAGAAAGUCACGGCUAACUACGUGCCAGCAGCCGCGGUAAUACGUAGGUGGCAAGCGUUAUCCGGAUUUAUUGGGGCGUAAAGAGAGUGCAGGCGGUUUUCUAAGUCUGAUGUGAAAGCCUUCGGCUUAACCGGAGAAGUGCAUCGGAAACUGGAUAACUUGAGUGCAGAAGAGGGUAGUGGAACUCCAUGUGUAGCGGUGGAAUGCGUAGAUAUAUGGAAGAACACCAGUGGCGAAGGCGGCUACCUGGUCUGCAACUGACGCUGAGACUCGAAAGCAUGGGUAGCGAACAGGAUUAGAUACCCUGGUAGGAUAGCG